GAUGAACGCUGGCGGCGUGCCUAAUACAUGCAAGUCGAGCGAACAGACGAGGAGCUUGCUCCUCUGACGUUAGCGGCGGACGGGUGAGUAACACGUGGAUAACCUACCUAUAAGACUGGGAUAACUUCGGGAAACCGGAGCUAAUACCGGAUAAUAUAUUGAACCGCAUGGUUCAAUAGUGAAAGACGGUUUUGCUGUCACUUAUAGAUGGAUCCGCGCCGCAUUAGCUAGUUGGUAAGGUAACGGCUUACCAAGGCAACGAUGCGUAGCCGACCUGAGAGGGUGAUCGGCCACACUGGAACUGAGACACGGUCCAGACUCCUACGGGAGGCAGCAGUAGGGAAUCUUCCGCAAUGGGCGAAAGCAUGACGGAGCAACGCCGCGUGAGUGAUGAAGGUCUUCGGAUCGUAAAACUCUGUUAUUAGGGAAGAACAAAUGUGUAAGUAACUAUGCACGUCUUGACGGUAACUAAUCAGAAAGCCACGGCUAACUACGUG
rnacentral:rRNA from 1 species